UUAAGUUCAGCGGGUAGCCCUACCUGAUCCGAGGUCAACCGAAAAGAUCGGCCCUGUACGGGGCCCAUCGGGGAAGACCGAGGCCGGCGAAUCCCUCCCGAGCAGGUGACCAAAGCUCCAUACGCUCGAGGACUCGACGCGGCGUCGCCACUGCCUUUGGGGCGUGUCCCCGGGGGGACAGCGCCCAACACCCAGCCGUG
rnacentral:misc_RNA from 1 species